UAGUUCUUUGCCCAAGGAUUUAAUUGCUCUUGAUUAAUUCCACACAGAGAUCAUAAUCGGCUAAACAUAAAUAAGAGAAGGCUUUAGCAUCAAAUGCUCUUCAUAAUCUAUAAUCCUCCUUCUUCUCUUAACUUCGCUCAUGAUUUAAUGAUCAACCUUUGUUUUAGGAAAACCUCAAACCUUUUCAAAUUGGUAGAUUAACAAUGUCAGAGCUAGGAGUAGGAGAUUCAUGUUAAAACAUUCCAAGUCUAAGACCAACCAAGGAAUCAUCAACCGUUAACACUAAAUUUAAGAUGCCCAAGUUUCUUCCAAAGGUUGUCAACAAAAGAAAAACCCAUUUGUGAAAGUUACAUAGCUACCUCUAGAUCAUCCAUAGAAUCAACACCAUUCUCCUCUACUAGAAACAAACUCAAGUGUUCCAUCAUAAUACCUUUUAGAUCAAAUAUUAAUGUCCUUAACCAAUUUCAAAAUAACUCAAACCACCACACUUCCGAUGUGCGCUUUGAUUUAAUCCAUUAAAUACUCUAAGGUCUCUAAAUGAUUUAUGACCGAAAUAUCACUUUGCACUAGGAAUAAGAAAAUCCAAAUUUCAAAACUUUAAUUGAAAUUUAUGUAGAGUAUACUAACCAUAACUAACCCUCAAGCCAUUAAUCAAGUUUAAGGUCACUACAUGAUCUCCACAACUUAGAAUCCAAAAUAUCCAGAUUUAAUUAACUCUGGAUUCCUUAGCAAUUCAAUUACAUAAUUUAGAUUGACCUUCCUUCCAAAAGAAUUUACUUCAAAUUCAAUGGGUUAAAAGUCAUUGAGCCAAU
rnacentral:lncRNA from 1 species